rnacentral:rRNA from 1 species
UCGAACGGGAAGCGGUGCAUAUUUGCUUCGGUGAAUUUUGUGCCGUGGAGAGUGGCGAACGGGUGCGUAACACGUAGGUAACCUGCCCCGAAAGGGGGGAUAACCACGGGAAACUGUGGCUAAUACCGCAUGAUCUCGCCGGGACGAGAGUUCGGUGAGGAAAGCUGAGGCGGUUUGGGAGGGGCCUGCGGUCGAUUAGCUGGUUGGUGGGGUAAAGGCCUACCAAGGCGAUGAUCGAUAGCUGUUCUGAGAGGAAGACCAGCCACACGGGAACUGAGACACGGUUCCGACUCCUACGGGGGGCAGCAGUGAGGAAUAUUGCGCAAUGGGGGAAACCCUGACGCAGCAACGCCGCGUGGAGGAUGAAGGUUUUCGGAUUGUAAACUCCUUAACUGGGGGAAGAGGAAGGACGGUACCCCAGGACGAAGACACGGCUAACUAGGUGCCAGCAGCCGCGGUAAUACCUAGGUGUCAAGCGUUAUCCGGAAUUACUGGGCGUAAAGGGUGCGCAGGCGGCGAUACAAGUCUGGCGUGAAAGCUCCUGGCUUAACUGGGAGAGGACGUCGGAAACUGUAUGGCUAGAGUGAAUGAGAGGGGGGCGGAAAUCCCGGUGUAGUGGUGGAAUGCGUAGAUAUCGGGAAGAACACCAGAGGCGAAGGCGGCCUCCUGGCAUUUUACUGACGCUGAGGCACGAAAGCGUGGGUAGCGAACGGGAUUAGAUACCCCGGUAGUCCACGCUGUAAACGAUGUGAACGACGUGUGGGCGGUGUAAAGCCGUCUGUGCCGGAGCAAACGCGAUAGUUCACCGCCUGGGAGUACGGUCGCAGGCUAAACUCAAAGAAUUGACGGGGGCCCGCACAGCAGCGGAGCGUG